ACGGAGGGUGCAAGCGUUGUCCGGAAUCAUUGGGCGUAAAGAGUUCGUAGGUGGUUUGUUAAGUUUGGUGUUAAAUGCAGGGGCUCAACUUCUGUUCGGCAUCGGAUACUGGCAGACUAGAAUGCGGUAGAGGUAAAGGGAAUUCCUGGUGUAGCGGUGAAAUGCGUAGAUAUCAGGAGGAACAUCGGUGGCGUAAGCGCUUUACUGGGCCGUGAUUGACACUGAGGAACGAAAGCCAGGGUAGCAAAUGGG
rnacentral:rRNA from 1 species